rnacentral:lncRNA from 1 species
AUAUAUUGAAGUGUUCUUUGAUGUUAUUAUGAUUGAUUGCAGAGACUCUACCUAAAAAAAUCUUGCAUUGAUGAAUGAUGAAAAACUUACAAAGCAGAAUGUGGUCAACCAUCUCUAGGUAUUUUUUUAAUCCAUCAUGUAUGCUUUAGUUAAUAUAGAGACUUCAUCUUAAAAGAAUUAGCAAUACUUUUGUGCCAAACCAAAAGCGUUCUGCGCAGUUUCAAGACAUCAAUAUUGCUCCCGUUCAGAAUGCGUCUCUAAAUCAGCUUUGUCAUGCACAAAAUUCAAACAACACCACCAAUGAUUAUGGUUAUCAGAGUGGUUUUAUUCAUGCAAUACCAACCUCAGAAUGGUAUUCCAAUCAAAGACCUGACUCAUUGUUCAAUGAUGUUUCAUUUCGAUGGAUGGAUGAUACUCAGGAUAGUGCAAGUUAUUAUUAGAAUCUAAUUGGUACCUUAAUAAGCUCUCUAACUCCUUUGAAUGCUUUUUUUAUCCAAAAAAAAUAAUACUUCAAAUUCAACCUUCAAUGGAGUGAUGGAAAUUGGUUUGUUAGAAGCUAUUAGUGGAAAUAUUUGGGUAUGACAAUUAAAAAAUUCUGAAGUUUCACAUAGAAGAGUUUUGAAAAAAAACAACUCACAAGUCCCAUAUAGAAGAGUUUUUAAAAAAAAAAUAACUCUCAAGUCUCACAUUGGAGAUAUGAGGAACUUGGAGAAAAUAUCAUGUUAUAAAUAGAAGUCUUUUACCUUUAUAUUUUCUUGUCUCAAGUUGAAUGCGCUUUCAUUCAACUUUUUUUCUCCCCAUAUUUUCCGCCAAUGCAUUUCUGGUAAACUUCUCCCCUUUCUUUCCGUGGCACUAAGAAUUGGCACAGACAGCCAAAUUGUAGGAAUUUCAAGAACUGAUAUUGGUCAAAUUGAGGGAAAAGAAUUGGCAUGGUAGCCAAAUUUUGGGCAUUUUGAGCAUUAGCACCGGUAGCCAUAUUGUUGGAAUUUCUGAGAAAUGACACUCGUAGCCAUAUUAUGAUAGCAGGAUACAAAAUUCCAUAGCCCAAGGUUCCUUUUAGGUAUCUUAAUAACUUCUUUACAGCACCCAAAUGACUCUAGUCAUGCACAAAAUUCAAACAACACCACCAAUGAUUAUGGUUAUCAGAGUGGUUUUAUUCAUGCAAUACCAACCUCAGAAUGGUAUUCCAAUCAAAGACCUGACUCAUUGUUCAAUGAUGUUUCAUUUCGAUGGAUGGAUGAUACUCAGGAUAGUGCAAGUUAUUAUUAGAAUCUAAUUGGUACCUUAAUAAGCUCUCUAACUCCUUUGAAUGCUUUUUUUAUCCAAAAAAAAUAAUACUUCAAAUUCAACCUUCAAUGGAGUGAUGGAAAUUGGUUUGUUAGAAGCUAUUAGUGGAAAUAUUUGGGUAUGACAAUUAAAAAAUUCUGAAGUUUCACAUAGAAGAGUUUUGAAAAAAAACAACUCACAAGUCCCAUAUAGAAGAGUUUUUAAAAAAAAAAUAACUCUCAAGUCUCACAUUGGAGAUAUGAGGAACUUGGAGAAAAUAUCAUGUUAUAAAUAGAAGUCUUUUACCUUUAUAUUUUCUUGUCUCAAGUUGAAUGCGCUUUCAUUCAACUUUUUUUCUCCCCAUAUUUUCCGCCAAUGCAUUUCUGGUAAACUUCUCCCCUUUCUUUCCGUGGCACUAAGAAUUGGCACAGACAGCCAAAUUGUAGGAAUUUCAAGAACUGAUAUUGGUCAAAUUGAGGGAAAAGAAUUGGCAUGGUAGCCAAAUUUUGGGCAUUUUGAGCAUUAGCACCGGUAGCCAUAUUGUUGGAAUUUCUGAGAAAUGACACUCGUAGCCAUAUUAUGAUGGGUGUAUUCGAGAUUGGUUCUUACAAUGCAGUAAGAAUUUGAUAACAGAUCUGAGUUAUUUUAUCCUGCGGAUUUUGGGUAGUGUCACGAAACAUUUUAAAGAAAGCCAUCUGGUCGUGACUCAGCCAGUAAGUAUUAUUUCGUGUCAUUUAGAAUUGUUGCAACUUACGGUAACAACAAUUUUAAAACGUUUCUACUGCAAUGACAUUCAUAUAUAAUAUUACUAGAUCGAACAACUUUGACCUGAAUAAACCAUUUCGCUUUGAGGGACAAAUUUCAGACGGUUGCAAUAUAAGAUGAAACUUUUUCUAACUAUGAGAAAAGUUGUACACGUUAUGAAAACUAUGUCCUAGUGCUGUCGGAAAAAACUGGAAAAAUGGAAGGGAUCAACUAACUAUUGAUAUAGCUCUCUAGAAUGAAAAUGAUGACUUUUGUAAGAAUUUCACUCUGAAUGGGUAGUAACAUAAUUUGUAUGAUUCCUACAGCUCAUAUAAAUCUGUCAAAUUAAUUUGGUAUACACUUGAAAAGAAAUAUGACGUUGAGGAAGGUGGGACUAAAAAGUAUGAUGUUAGCCGCUACCUCGAGCAUCGGACGAUUGAUGAUAAAUCAGUAGAGUCUUAGUCUUAUGAGAUAUAGAGAAUUGCUCUUGAAAUCAUUUAUGAUGGUAUGCCCCUAGAGAGUUAAACUCAUAGAGCCUAUAAAUGUAUAUUCUUUGGGUAUGCUAUAAACAAUAAGACGUGCCAGUUUUAUGACCUUAACGCAAAAAUGAUUAUUGAGUCUAACGAUGCUAACUUCAAUGAAAUGAAAUUUCAUUUUAAAUUGAGGAAUAGUGGGGGCACAUCAACUAGUCACAUACAUGUGAUUAGAGAUAAUGAUAAAAAAUAAAAGGUUUGAAAUAGAACCUAGAAGAAGCAAGAGAGCAACAACAGCUAGUUAUUAUAGACCUAAUUAUAUGGUCUAUAAAUUGGAGGAGAAUCUAUCAAAUCUCCAAGAAGUUUUGACUUCUUUGGAUGCUGAUGUGUGGCAAGAAGUCAUAAAUAAUGAGAUGAACUAUCUAGAGUCUAAAAAGAAACAAAUUAUUUUAGCUCAAUCCAAUAAGGAAGUGGAGAUGAUAACACUAGCAACAGCUAGUGAAGAAGCAAAUUGACUGAGAAGUUUGCAUGCAGAGAUUCCCCUAUUGGAAAAACCAAUACCAACAGUGUUGAUCCAUUAUGAUAGUAUCACGGCUAUCACAAAAAUUGAGAGUCGUUUAUAUAACAGUAAGAAACGACAAAUACAUCAUAAGCACAUCACAAUUAGAGGAUUACUCUCUACAUGAGCUGUUAGAGUUGAUCAUGUACGCACUGGGAAUAACUUAACAUAUCCUUUGACAAAAGAACUAACAAGAGAGAAAGUUCAUAAUGCUUCUAAGAGUAUGAGACUAUUGCUGGAUCACUCAUGAUGGUAACCCGAUCUAACUGACUGGAAAUCUAAGAAAUAGGUUCAAUGGAUAAUAAGUUCUGAAGUGAUAUGAGAAUGAACAUGCUAUAAAAUUAUGAGAAGCAUGAUUUCUGCAGUAUAUGUAAGAAUGAGUUAAUCUCUUAACGAGAUCAAUACUUCAAUUGGAGUGGAAUACCUAGGCUACAAGAUUGCUCUCGAUAGACUCAUCCAUGUGAAUGUGUAAGUGUGGGUCGCUUCCUAUGAAAUUUAGGGGCAUAAAUUUCUAGAGCGUUCACUAUACUGGGAUAGACGCGCAUGACCUUUAACACACGAACUUUAUAGAAUAUACAUUUGAAAAGGUUGUGUGUGGUUAGAUGUUGGAGAUAGAGUUCAAAACUACGAGUCACUCUAGUAAAAUCUGGAUAUUAUUCAUUAUGCAAAGUUUCAAGUUGCAAGACACUUUUUGCUUAUGCACAAUCUUAUUAAGACCCCAAAAAAUCCUCAGAAAUCGUUUUUUUAAUUUCAAGUGGGGAUUGUUGAAACUUGGUUUGUUAGAAGCCAUUAGUGAGAACUUUUGGGUGUGAAAUCUAAAAAACUUUCAAGUCUCACAUAAAAGAGUUUAAAAAAAACAGCUCCUAAGUCCCAUAAUGGAGAGAUGAUGAACUUGAAAAAAAUCUUAUGUUAUAAAUAGAAGUCUCUUCCCUUCAUGUUUUCUUUCUUCCUGUUUUCUUGCCCGAAGUUGAAUGUGUUUUCAUUCAACUUUUUUUUCUUUUUCAUAUUUUCUGUUGGCACAUUUCUAGCAAACUUCUUUCCAUUUCUUUCCGUGACACUAAGAAUUGGCACAGACAGAAUUUUGAGAAUUGACACUAGUAGUCAGAUUGAGGAAAAAGAAUUAGGCAAUGUCACUCAGUGUAUUAUUUCGUGUCAUUUAGAAUGGUUACAAGUUACCGUAACAACAAGUCUUAAAACAUUUGUAUGACUAAUAAUCUUGGUUUAAUAUAAGACUUGGUCAUUGCAUUUUCUAGUUGCAGCUCUUGGGAGUUACCUAGGAUUGUUGAGCUCAGACACAAGAUGACAGCUGUCAUGCACGAGAAUCGUCAGUUAAGGGAAAUUGUCCAAGUGAUAAAGGCACAAUAGGACAUGUUGAUGCAGAUUGUCUUACAAAGAACAAUCGUCCCCCAAUACGCUAACGGAGCAAUAGCAGCA